rnacentral:lncRNA from 1 species
CUUGUAUGGCCAGAGCGCACUGGGUUAUGGAGAUCCCUGCUGAAACUUACAGAAGACCCAGAUGGUUGGACCACUCAGCAUGGCAACCAGGAACAUCAGGCGGCCUUGGUGAACACACCCACCAGCCACCUUAUCCAGCCACAAACAUUUGCUGACCUCCCAGCUCACGGAGCCAGGACACUCCAAAGAGGCCGCUCAGUGUGGUAAACGAAGAUCGGAACUUGGGGUUGGCUGGAUCCAGGUUCGGGUAUCAGCUCUCACCAUUUCCAGCUGUGUGUCCUUUGGCAAAUGACUUCACCUCUCUGGUCCUGUCUACAAAAUGGGGAUGAUAACAAUAGGUCCCUCUCAGGACUUUUGGCAGGACCAAAUGAGACAAAUGUACCCAAAGCACUGAGCUGGCUCCCUGGCAUGGAAACGUGACUAGUGAUUGGUAGGAAUGCACAGUACUUGACAUUUUGCAAAGCACUUUCUUGGCUGUCAUCUCAACACCCCACAGAGCCGUUGCUCUGGUUGUGAAGGUGGAGUAAACCAUCCUGAAGCAGAAGUUCAGAUUCCUGCCCUGGGUGUGCAGUCAGGAACAAGGCCCAGCCCCGCCCUGAGACACUCGCUGCCUGGGCAGAGUCACCAGACAACUGAUACAGCACAAGAAGAGCCUGAGAGAGGCCUGCAGAAACGUCCAGAAAGCUGCAUUCAGCUCUUGCUUUGCAUUGCAGCUUCCUUUAAUGUCGUCUUGAAGCCACAAGCACGUGGGACCCCCGCUCAGGGAACCGUCUCGCUCACUUCUGCAUCCCCAGUGCCUAAAGGAACGCCUGACCUAAAGUUGGUGCUCAGUAAACAUUUUCUUAUUUAGCUCACAAAUAACUGAGUGAGUGAAUGAAUGAGGGAAUUAAUUACCAGGUCAGAUCACUUGGAGAGAGAGAUUGGUUACUGUUAUGGUCUGUGCGGCCAUGGAGCCCAUGGUGUCAUUUUACUUAAAACAAUUUUUAUUUAUUGUUAUAUGGACAGGUGAGUUUUUCAGUCACUACUUACAAUUUAGGACUCAGCAUGUGGACAAAGAACUCACUUCCCUGCAGGUCACGAGCCAGAUUCUAAUACUGGCCUAUUACCAGUUUCCUGAGAGACUUAUAACUGAUUUUCCCACCUCUCCAGAACUCUCCAGAACCACGCUUUUUAUUUUCUACAGAGAAAUCUAAAGUCGCUGCCCCCAGAAGUCAACAAGGCCAGUGAUGUGCUAGAGGCAGCUUCACCAGCCGUGAGAGCUGAUUGUGCCCAGACCUUCCCAGGGCACCUUCCACAUUCAGGGACAUCACGAUAGUGGCUUGAAAUCAGCCGCUGUGGGAAUAUUUACGAGAUGGAAAUUGGAAAGUGCUUUUUUUUUUCAGGAGAGCCAGUUGUUAAAUUUCUACCAGCGUACCCCUCUAAAAGGCCCAAACUUCUUUGAAGUAUCUGGUCUUAUGUUUAAAAUCUCGGCAUAUACCAUGGAAUACUAUGCAGCCAUAAACAGAACAAGAUCAUUUCUUUGCAGGAACAUGGAUGGAGCUGGAGGCCAUCAUCCUUAGCAAAUUAAUGCAGGAACAGAAAACCAAAUACCGCAUGCUCUCACUUAUAAGUGGAAGCUAAAUGAUGAGAACACAUGGACACGUAGAGGGAAACAACACACGCUGGGGCCUGAGGGUGGGGUAUCAGGAAAAGGAACUAGUAGGUACUAGGCUGAGUACCUGGGUGACAAUUUAAUCUGUACAACAAACCCUCAUGACACAAGUUUGCCUGUGUAACAAACCUGCACAUGUAUACCUGAACUUAAGAGAUUUAAAAAUGACAAUAAUCCCUAAGAUCCUCUAAUAAUUAAUGUUAAAAAUUUUUCCAACUAUUCAUCCAAGAAUUCUUAAAGACAAUGUAUUUUGCCAUGGUUAUACCUCUAUAUUUCAAAUAAAAUCACAUUUUUGGGGCAAAGUUUAAAAAAAUAAAAUUCCCAUAUAUUCUGCACUUUGGAAAACUUGACUUUUGAUUUUAGUAAAAAAACAUUUUAAUGACCAAUUAUAUGACUGCAAUCUUUUAUUAAAAUGGAUGCUCUGAGAGGCUGCCAUGUUUAUCCUGCGCUUUGUUACAUCUCACUAUAACUGGGUUUUCUAGUUUAAAAAACAGAGCCCUGGGGAGGGAGGGAUGAACAGGUGGGCAAAGCAUGUAGAGGAGUGGAAUGAUUCUUUCUGCCUGAGCCUGUGAUGGUGGAUGAGUGCCAUCACACAUUCAUCCAAACGUACAGAGUGUCCAACACCAAGAGUGAACCCGAAUGUCCACGGUGGACCCUGGGUGAUAAUGAAGUGUCUGUGUAAGUUCAUACAUUGUAAUCAAUGUCCCACUCUGGUGUGGGACAUGGAUGGUGGGGGAGGCUGUGUAGCAGGGGUGGGAAGGCUGCAUGUGUGGGUGGG